CGAGCGCAGCCGGGCGCCCCCGCCGCCGCGCGCAGCCCGGGAGCGGCAGACGGGACAGGCGGGCGUGCGGACGCGCCGUCGGGGCCAGGGGAAGCGGAGGGGGCAGACGGCACCGCUCCGACGGGGGAACCUGCCCAGCAGCGCCGGAACCGGCGGAGAGAGCCGCUCCCCCCCUCCUCCCUCCCCAAUCCACCCCCGCGACCCUGGUCCUCCUCCUCCUCCUCCUUCUCCUCCUCCUCCUCCUCACCCCACUGGAUACAGCGAGGGAGACACUGCGGCGGAGGCGGCGGCGGCGGCGGCUCCUGCGGGGGGAAGGAAGCGCCCGGAGAGCGGAGCGGCAGGAGGCUGCGGAUCUGUGUGCCUGGCGCCCACCCAGCCCGAGGGGAGCCCCCAGAAUGCGGCUGAAGCCCGGCGCGCUCCUGCGCUUCUACAGCCUCUGCGGGAUCCUCAUACAAGAUAAACUCUUGUCCAGCUUGUACUGUGCAGGAAGCAGGGCAGAAUGUUAACUGCUAAUUUAUGAAGCUGCCGGCUGGGACAGCAUCUCUGAUUGGAUGCUCUUUUCCAUGAUGUUUAUUCUUUUUUUUUUGUUUUGUUUCCACUGGAGACAGGUACAAAAUAAAAUUAGUUGAUUAGUUAGGUGCUUGUUUCUG
rnacentral:lncRNA from 1 species